rnacentral:pre_miRNA from 1 species
AGCCUUCUGUAUCCGUGCUGAGAUUUCGUCACACACAAACCACAAGGGCUGAGAGACUUUUAAGAUAAGUGAAGCG